rnacentral:rRNA from 1 species
GACGAACGCUGGCGGCGUGCUUAACACAUGCAAGUCGAACGGAAAGGCCCUGCUUUUGUGGGGUGCUCGAGUGGCGAACGGGUGAGUAACACGUGAGUAACCUGCCCUUGACUUUGGGAUAACUUCAGGAAACUGGGGCUAAUACCGGAUAGGAGCUCCUGCUGCAUGGUGGGGGUUGGAAAGUUUCGGCGGUUGGGGAUGGACUCGCGGCUUAUCAGCUUGUUGGUGGGGUAGUGGCUUACCAAGGCUUUGACGGGUAGCCGGCCUGAGAGGGUGACCGGCCACAUUGGGACUGAGAUACGGCCCAGACUCCAACGGGAGGCAGCAGUGGGGAAUAUUGCACAAUGGGCGGAAGCCUGAUGCAGCAACGCCGCGUGCGGGAUGACGGCCUUCGGGUUGUAAACCGCUGUCGCCUGUGACGAAGCGUGAGUGACGGUAAUGGGUAAAGAAGCACCGGCUAACUACGUG